rnacentral:lncRNA from 1 species
CUGCGUUGGGUGCCCUGUGUUCCUUCUCUGCGGCGGUCAGAACCUAGCACCUGGGGCAGGAGGACGAUACUGCUGACGUCUGUUGAAGGUCCUUAAGUAUCAAAUUUAAUUAUCAAAUAAAUAAAGAAAAGGAUCCAAAUGAAAUCAACAUCUAGACUUAGGGUUUUAUGUGAUAGAAUUCCAUGAGUUUUGGUGUUUGUCCAUUUCUGCAGGGGGUUAUCAGGAAAUAUGGAAGAAAGGCCCACACGUCGGGAUUACAUAGAGAUAUUAACGUGCCGCGCAAUUAUCUUACAUCUAGAAGACUCCAGAAGCCCCG